CCGAAUUAAAUUUAAAAUUUUACCAACCGACUAUUUGAAUAAUUUAUCGACUGUGUUUUAGUUGGUCGUUAAAAUACCGACCGUAUUUUAUACGGUCGUUAAAAUACCGACCGCUUUUACCGACCGCCAAGAGUAUUUAUUUAUUUUUAAAAAGAUUUUCCUAGCUAGAAACCCUAAGAAACUCCUCCUAAUCUCUACCCACGUUUGUACGUCGUAUCCCUCCCUAUUUUCUUUCUCUCUCUUCAACUUCCCUCAUCUCCCCUUCUCUUUCUCUCUCUUCAACCUCCCUCAAUCUCUCUCUCAUCUUUCUUUUUUUCUUCUGUCACUCAUCUCUCUUCAACGUCCUUCAAUCUCUCCUCUCUCGUCUUUUUUUUCGUCACUCAUUAAAAUUGAUAUUGCAAGCAGUAACGACUUCCGUUUCUAUUUUUUUUCAAUUUCAAUUCUUUUAUUUAAUUAAUUUCAAUGAUUUGAUUUUUUCUCUUUUUAUAUUUUUGUGUUUGAAUUUUAAAUCUGAUGAGUUUGUGUGUGCUGAAUUUUUAUGUAGGUGAAGAAUUUGAGUAGAUCUUCGAUAUGAUGGAGUUAAGCAUUGGAGAACAAAGCUCUAAAGAGAAGAUCUGACAGAGAAUUACUUGGAGGUGAAGAAGGAGAAUAGAUCUAUGUGUUUUCACAAUAAGGGAUUUAAUCUCGACAUUUGUUGAUACCAAGAACCGUUGAUUUGAUAAAUUUGGGAAGAAGUUGGAAGGAAAUAACUUCAAGCAUACAUAGUCUGAGGUUUAUAUUUAGUUUUAGAUCGAUUUUUUUUAGAAUUAUUCUUACUCAUCUUUGUAAUUGUAAUUCAAGUGAAUUGUGUCAUAAUAAAAGUUCCUUUUUUUACUUUA